rnacentral:sRNA from 1 species
AAAACACCAAAAGGGAACUAGGACAGAAUGGGGUCAGAGUAUAAGAACAAAGGGAAACAGAAAAAGACUGAGCUCAAAUUUCAAAGAUAUGAAAGUUUGAGUUAAUAAAGGAGUAAUGGAUGUCAACAGAAGGAAGCACACUAUUAAAUAGCAAGAUAAUCAAAGAAAAACAGAGAUAUAGAGGGAAUAAUUGCAAUCAAAAUAUAUUAUUUUUAAAUAAAGAAAAUCAUGGAAUAAAAAAUGAGUAAAAGUCAGGACAAGAGACAAAGCUUUUGGAGUUUAUGGCAGAAAGAAUUUCAACUGGGCUGCACAGAGUACUUCCUCCUGGCAGCCAUGGCUUAUGACCGCUGUCUUGCCAUCUGCUAUCCUUUACACUACAGAGCCAUCAUGAGUAGCCUGCUCUCAGUGCAGCUGGCCCUGGGCUCCUGGGUCUGCGGUUUCAUGGCCAUUGCAGUGCCCACAGCCCUCAUCAGUGGCCUGUCCUUCUGUGGCCCCCGUGCCAUCAACCACUUCUUCUGUGACAUUGCACCCUGGAUUGCCCUGGCCUGCACCAACACACAGGCAGUAGAGCUUGUGGCCUUUGUGACUGCUUUUGUGGUUAUCCUGAGUUCAUGCCUCAUCACCCUUGUCUCCUACGUGUACAUCAUCAGCACCAUCCUUGGGAUCCCCUCUGCCAGUGGCCGGAGCAAAGCCUUCUCCACGUGCUCCUCGCAUCUCACCGUGGUGCUCAUUUGGUAUGGGUCCACAAUUUUCCUUCACGUCCGCACCUCUAUCAAAGACGCCUUGGAUCUGACCAAAGCUGUCCACGUCCUGAACACUGUGGUGACUCCAGUUUUAAACCCCUUCAUCUAUACGCUUCGUAAUAAGGAAGUAAGAGAAACUCUGCUGAAGAAAUGGAAGGGAAAAUAAAUCUCCUCUGCCACAACAGAUGUCCUGUAAAUGGUCUCUGCAUCUAUACAGAGGUUCCAAGUAAGAAUGUGGAGGAACAGGGCAAAUCUUUCUUGGUACACAGAGAAAAAACAAACAAAACAAGCAAUACUAUAUUUUCUAUACAUUAUCAUGUAUGAUAAAAAUGGGAGUUUUUGACAUAAGCAAAUGGGACUUUUUAAGUAAAAAAUAAUUGUACAUUGAAUUAGGUUUGCUCUGGACUUUGGUUUAUAAAUUAGAGACAUCUGCAAUAAAAAGAGUGUUUUGGUAUAUCAGCUCUAAAUUCUUGUUUCUCUUUAAAGAUUAGCAAAAUUGUCUUAGUAUAAAAUAUUGAGAACUACAUUUGUGGAACACGAGGGAAGAGAAAUAUGC